UUCCAGACUCCUACGGGAGGCAGCAGUGGGGGAUAUUGCACAAUGGGGGAAACCCUGAUGCAGCGACGCCGCGUGAGGGAAGACGGCCUUCGGGUUGUAAACCUCUGUCGCAGGGGACGAAGGAAGUGACGGUACCCUGUGAGGAAGCCACGGCUAACUACGUGCCAGCAGCCGCGGUAAUACGUAGGUGGCGAGCGUUGUCCGGAAUUACUGGGUGUAAAGGGAGCGUAGGCGGGAGUGCAAGUUGAAUGUAUAAACUAUCGGCUCAACUGAUAGAAGCGUUCAAAACUGCACUUCUUGAGUGAAGUAGAGGCAGGCGGAAUUCCUAGUGUAGCGGUGAAAUGCGUAGAUAUUAGGAGGAACACCAGUGGCGAAGGCGGCCUGCUGGGCUUUAACUGACGCUGAGGCUCGAAAGCGUGGGUAGCAAACAGGAUUAGAUCCCCCGGUAU
rnacentral:rRNA from 1 species